UCCCCCGGGGCCUCGGAGAGCCGCGCGCUGGGCGUGUGCGCGCGCGCGGAUUCGGUGGGGGAAUCUCCUUCGGUGGAAGCUGCUGAGUGUCGCUGGCAGAGAGUAUUCUGGAGCCCAGCAAAAGCCUCCAAAGCACUUGAGCUUCCCGAAAGAAAAACAGAAUAAAAGACCGAAAAGAAGGGAAGCCCGCUCCCGUAAAGCCCGGGUUUCCAAUAGUCUCGGAUCCGCCCGGAGCUGAGCAGAGGCGCAGUUGGCGGCGGCCCCUGCUCGCGCCCGGACUUGGAAAGACGGUUUUUUCCCCGCUUCGGGGAGGAGGGAGGUGAGGGACUCGCGGGCGAGAGUUGCACCUGGUCUAGGAGCGUUCAGAGAGGAGAACUCUGGGCAGGAGGAGAGCGGCCCCGGAGCGCGGCAGCCAGCCUCUGACCAUGCCCCGGUGAGGGGGGCGGACUUCGAGGGCAACUUGUCGCGGACUACCUGGCUUAGCCAGCGAGCUGCGAGCGCCGGCGGCCCGGAACUGUGCGGCGCGGCCCGGCGGGGGGCUAUCGUCUAUGUCUUCUUGGGGCGCCAGGCGGAUCGGGGUCUCGUUUUUGCAGGAAGAACCCGGCGCUGGUGGCUUCAGGUGGCUGCCGCCACCGCGGCUAGUGCUGUUUCCGCCUCUCGUGCGAGGAGCGGAGACCGGCGAACGGGGAGACCUCCGGGGCAGCGAGGCAUCGGACAUGUGUCAGCACAUCUGGGGCGCACAUCCGUCGAGCCCGAGGGGAGAUUUGCCGGAACAAUUCAAACUGCGAUAUUGAUCUUGGGGGUGACUGUCCCUGGCCGGCCGGCUGUCGGGUGGGAGUGCGAGUGUGCGCUCGCUCGCAAGUGUGUGCGUGUUUGUAUGUGUGUGUGCCGUGUCGGGCUCCCCCCUUCCCCCCCGUUUUCCCGUCGAGUGAUGCACUUGGAAUGAGAAUCAGAGGAUGGAAAUAGUCUGGGAGGUGCUUUUCCUUCUUCAAGCCAAUUUCAUCGUCUGCAUAUCAGCUCAACAGAAUUCACCAAAAAUCCAUGAAGGCUGGUGGGCGUACAAGGAGGUGGUCCAGGGAAGCUUUGUUCCAGGUA